CAACAUGCUUUGACAGAAUUCAGAGGACUGGAAGACUUUGUCUGAAAACUAAAACUUCUGGGUUUGAAAAAUGUUACUGUAGUCCUCCUCUGACAUUAUGACUUGGAUGCCUGCUGGCCCUGGUCUGCAAGGCUGAGGCUGCCUUCCACCUUUGACAUUUUGCCAUGAUCUUUCCUCUCUGAAGGGAAUGCUGGAAAUGGGGAAUCCCUCAAAGUGAUCUGUCAUCAGAAUUCUCAUUUAAAUGUUUUGUACCAAAAAUAAACAGUUGGAUCCUGCUGUGGCUCUCCUCCACUGUCUGCUGCUCUUCUGUGUUUCUUCUUGACUUCAUAGCUUGGAUUCACAUAGCCUUCCUGCCAUCAAACACUGCUGUUCUAGUAGAGCAUCUUUCUGUUCUCUGGUUCUUCCUGUUAAUCUUCAGGUUUUUAGAUUUUUGCUCUGUCUGGGUGGCCAUAUUGAUCUCCAGCUGCAAGAACAUGGAAACCUGGACCACAAAUUUUGGUGGCUGCCAUAAUCUGGAUACUACCAUCUGUGUCAUGGAUACCUUUCUGAACCUCACAGCAUGUUUGAUGUUCGUUGACAGAGGUCAUGUGAAGCUGAGUGUGCAAUGCUCCAGGAGCAGAAAGAUCACAGUGGCUUCAGUCUGCAAACUGACUGAGUGGAGAGAUGUGCCCAUGCCCACAUGGGCGUGCUGAAAGAGGACAUUUUGCUCAUUCCUUCUACUUCAUUUCUCCCCACAUUCUUCUCUGGCCUAGGAAAUUUGACUUUGUCUCCUGUAGUGUUUGAACAUCUGUAUCCUUUCCUAGGCUGCUGGGUAUCACUUCAUACUCCCUGAACUGAUGAUGGGAUUCUAUCAUCAGGAUGAUGGGAUGUCAGAGGACAUGGAUUUGGCAGUGGAAACCAUUGGAUUUCACUCCUUGGCUAGCCCUGUCUACCUUCAGAAAGCUCACACAUCUUUACAUUAUGGCCGCAUAUAAAGCUGGUAACUUUUGCAUGUCAGGAGUGAAAAGGACAUGUAUAAACAAAAUGGUAAGAUGUCAAGGGAUGGGAAACAAAAGAGUGUGAUCCAGAAUGCUGCAUCUAUUUGUGGGUGACUUGGUUGAGGCACAGAUUGAAGGGACAGAUCUUUUUACUAUUACUCCUCAGAAUCAAAAGAGAAGAAAUUGCUUUGCUGGAGGCUGCUUCAUCCUGACCUCAUUCACAUACAGGUGAUUUGUUUCAGUGCACAGGGGCACAUCCUGCAGUGUUAAAAUCAAUGGGAAUGUUGCUGGUGAAAACAGGAAAAGCAUUUUAACUUUGUUUCUGAUAACUGAUGUCGCAAGAUUUUGGAAGGGGUUUUACUGCUCUUAAAAACAAUCUCAACUUGUGUUUUAUUCCUGGUGCUGAUGCCUCCAUUGUAAGUGGCAUUUCACCAGGAUGCUGUGCCUCGUGAAUUCAGGGAGAAGGUUACACACUGGAAAGG